rnacentral:rRNA from 1 species
CCCUUAGAUGUUCUGGGCCGCACGCGCGCUACACUGACGAAUGCAACGAGCUUAUAACCUUGGCCGAAAGGUCUGGGUAAUCUCCAAAUUUCGUCGUGAUGGGGAUAGAUUAUUGCAAUUAUUAAUCUUCAACGAGGAAUGCCUAGUAAGCGCAAGUCAUCAGCUUGCGUUGAUUACGUCCCUGCCCUUUGUACACACCGCCCGUCGCUCCUACCGAUUAAAUGGUCCGGUGAAGCGUUCGGACCGUGGCCUUUGGACGGUUCGCCGUCUGUUGGCUGCGGGAAGUUCGUUAAACCUUAUCAUUUAGAGGAAGGAGAAGUCGUAACA